GACGAACGCUGGCGGCGUGCCUAAUACAUGCAAGUAGAACGCUGAAGGAGGAGCUUGCUCUUCUGGAUGAGUUGCGAACGGGUGAGUAACGCGUAGGUAACCUGCCUGGUAGCGGGGGAUAACUAUUGGAAACGAUAGCUAAUACCGCAUAACAACAGUUGUUGCAUGACAGCUGUUUAAAAGAUGCAAUUGCAUCACUACCAGAUGGACCUGCGUUGUAUUAGCUAGUUGGUGAGGUAACGGCUCACCAAGGCAACGAUACAUAGCCGACCUGAGAGGGUGAUCGGCCACACUGGGACUGAGACACGGCCCAGACUCCUACGGGAGGCAGCAGUAGGGAAUCUUCGGCAAUGGACGGAAGUCUGACCGAGCAACGCCGCGUGAGUGAAGAAGGUUUUCGGAUCGUAAAGCUCUGUUGUAAGAGAAGAACGAGUGUGAGAGUGGAAAGUUCACACUGUGACGGCAUCUUACCAGAAAGGGACGGCUAACUACGUGCCAGCAGCCGCGGUAAUACGUAGGUCCCGAGCGUUGUCCGGAUUUAUUGGGCGUAAAGCGAGCGCAGGCGGUUAGAUAAGUCUGAAGUUAAAGGCUGUGGCUUAACCAUAGUACGCUUUGGAAACUGUUUAACUUGAGUGCAAGAGGGGAGAGUGGAAUUCCAUGUGUAGCGGUGAAAUGCGUAGAUAUAUGGAGGAACGCCGGUGGCGAAAGCGGCUCUCUGGCUUGUAACUGACGCUGAGGCUCGAAAGCGUGGGGAGCAAACAGG
rnacentral:rRNA from 1 species